rnacentral:rRNA from 1 species
UACGUAGGGAGCAAGCGUUGUUCGGAUUUACUGGGCGUAAAGGGCGCGUAGGCGGCAUAUUAAGUCAUCUGUGAAAUCUCCGAGCUUAACUCGGAACUGUCAGCUGAUACUGAUGUGCUAGAGUGCGGAAGGGGCAAUCGGAAUUCUUGGUGUAGCGGUGAAAUGCGUAGAUAUCAAGAGGAACACCUGAGGUGAAGACGGGUUGCUGGGCCGACACGUGACGCUGAGUGCGCGAAAGCCAGGGGAGCAAACGGG